rnacentral:snoRNA from 1 species
GCCACUGAUGACAUCGCCCAAUGUUUGGAGGCUGCAAUCGGCUCCAAGAUCCUGCCUGGCAGGAAGAACCUACUUGGAGCCGCUGCACUCGCAUGACAGCACCGGGCUAAUCUGAGGC